GAAGCUGACCAGACAGUCGCCGCUUCGUCGUCGUCCUCCCUUCGGGGGGGAGACGGGCGGAGGGGAGGAAAGUCCGGGCUCCAUAGGGCAAGGUGCCGAGGUAACGCCUGGGGGUGUCACAGCCCACGACCAGUGCAACAGAGAGCAAACCGCCGAUGGCCCGCGCAAGCGGGAUCAGGUAAGGGUGAAAGGGUGCGGUAAGAGCGCACCGCGCGGCUGGUAACAGUCCGCGGCACGGUAAACUCCACCCGGAGCAAGGCCAAAUAGGGGUUCAUAAGGUACGGCCCGUACUGAACCCGGGUAGGCUGCUUGAGCCAGUGAGCGAUUGCUGGCCUAGAUGAAUGACUGUCCACGACAGAACCCGGCUUAUCGGUCAGUUUCACCU
rnacentral:RNase_P_RNA from 1 species